rnacentral:rRNA from 1 species
GUAAGGAAUAUUGGACAAUGGAGGCAACUCUGAUCCAGCCAUCCCGCGUGCAGGAUGAAUGCCCUAUGGGUUGUAAACUGCUUUUGUGAGGGAAGAACCGAACCCAAUAUUGGGUUUUUGACGGUACCUUACGAAUAAGCACCGGCUAACUCCGUGCCAGCAGCCGCGGUAAUACGGAGGGUGCAAGCGUUAUCCGGAAUCACUGGGUUUAAAGGGUGCGUAGGCGGCCUGGUAAGUCAGGGGUGAAAGGUCACGGCUCAACCGUGGAAUUGCCUUUGAUACUGCUGGGCUUGAAUCAGGAUGAGGUCGGCGGAAUGUGGCAUGUAGCGGUGAAAUGCAUAGAUAUGCCAUAGAACACCAAUUGCGAAGGCAGCUGGCUAGACCUUGAUUGACGCUGAGGCACGAAAGCGUGGGGAGCGAACAGGAUUAGAAACCCUGGUAGUCC